UCCUCACUGCUGCAGAGAGUCCUGCAUGUCCAGGGGAAGCAAAGACAGUGGAAGUUAUUAGAGCUACCCAUCACAGUCCAUUCUUUGCCUUCUGCCUUAGGGCUGUAAGAUGGAGAAGGAAUCACAUCCAUAAGAGUACUCAUAUGCUGCAUUUCCAUCAUUCAGCAUGAUUACAGCUGGUUGUCCCAGGAAGGAGACAUAGGAUUAUAGCGAUGUCUCAUAUGUCACUGCCUUGUCACAUCCAAAUAGACACUAAAAUAUAUAAGGUUAGCAUCAGCCCCAUGCUGACACAGACACUCCAGACAGCAGCCUGGAUAUGACAUCUAAGAUGAGGACAUGGCCUAGCACUUUUCCAAGAAGAUUGCUCUUCUCCUUCCCUAUGUAACCCCUAAACAAUAUGGAAACACCAGUGCAAUUGCACUUAAACUCAUGCCUUUAAUGUAUGUAUCAUAGUAUGAGAGUAAUUGUCUAUGUAAAUACAUUUUUCAUAUGUGUAAAGAUACCAACCAAGUUAUUGGUGCCAAGAAUUGUCAUGCACUAUUUCAGCAUAGAAGCAAUAUCAUUAGGAAGGUCUACCACAGCAGCCUUCUUCUAAGAACUUGGUUUGCACACUGAACUGUCUGAUGACUUUGAGGACCAAAUUCUGAGUUGGAUAAGUAAA